GCCCCCGUAGCUCAGAGGAUAGAGCACUUGUCUUCUAAACAAUUGGUCGGGAGUUCGACUCUCUCCGGGGGCG
rnacentral:tRNA from 1 species